UACGUAGGUGGCAAUCGUUGUCCGGAAUUAUUGGGCGUAAAGCGCGCGCAGGCGGUCUUUUAAGUCUGAUGUGAAAGCCCCCGGCUCAACCGGGGAGGGUCAUUGGAAACUGGGAGACUUGAGUACAGAAGAGGAGAGUGGAAUUCCACGUGUAGCGGUGAAAUGCGUAGAUAUGUGGAGGAACACCAGUGGCGAAGGCGACUCUCUGGUCUGUAACUGACGCUGAGGCGCGAAAGCGUGGGGAGAUAACAGG
rnacentral:rRNA from 1 species